CCGUGCUAGACGGGGAGCUGGCGGUGCCCUGUACCCGCAAUCCGCCAUAGCGGGGUUGAAUUCCUUCCCGAGGGCUCACGUCGCCGGCAACCCCUCUGGUCAGAGGGUGUUGAACGGCGGGUCCUGCGCGGCAGGAGCCUCCAAACCCCGCCAGGUCCGGAAGGAAGCAACGGUACGGAGUCCCUCCUGGGUGCCGCAGGGAUGCCUGCCUGGAGCCCGAUGACCUGAGGCGGCCCGGCGGCCAGGUUCGACGGAAGGUGCACGG
rnacentral:SRP_RNA from 1 species